UUUUCUCUCUCUCUCUUUCCUCUCUCGACGAAACGGUGAACCGCCUUCCUCGUCUUCUCCGUCGCUGAUCGAUCUUAUACUCUGUUGUUUCUGUAAUCAGCGGUGGUGAUUGAUGGCUUCUAACGAUCCAAAAAACGGCGAAGGUUUCUUCGCCUCUAUUGGUUUAUCCAUCACCAAUUUCGGAUCGGUCAUGUCCAAAUCAGUUUUAACGGGUAAUGAAUUCAAAAUCCUCAUAUACAAUUUCUCGUUUUCGGAUCCUCCAUUCUUCAGUUGGGGUGGAUUCACAUGCUUCUUAUGCUGGAAACUAUGGUGGGAUGGUAUAUUAUUUCAUCUGGUUGGGAUUUGAAGGUUUGUGUUCAAUUGUUGAGCUAGAAUUGGGGAAUUUUCGUCUGCUCAUGUGGAAUUGUGUGUGAUGUGAUUGAUUCAACAAAAGCAGGCAAGUUACAACAAAGGAAGGGGAUAAUAGAGCUCGUGAGUUUGGUGCUUAGUUCAGGGAGACUAGUGCCAAAGAUGGGUUCAACAUUCAGAAUUCAUAUGAAUGGGAAAAUCCCCAAAGAGUCAGAAUCACCACGUUAUCAAGCUUUACUUCGUAUGACAAGUGCUCCAUGAUAAUCUGAGCUGCUUGCUUUGGUGGUAUUUGAUAAGAAGAGAGGUUCCGAGCAAGCCAACAGUAGAACGGAUGGGCAUAGAGAACAGAGUAUUCUGGUUUUACGGAAAGAUUGUGGAUUAAAGUGGAGACGAUGAUAAGAGAUAAGAUUGUGAAUAAGACUCCGACAUCGACCUGGUGAAGAAGGGAGAAUACGCCGAAGACGGUGACUGGAGCUGAGAAAGAGGAGAGAGAGAGACGUGAAAGGAAGAGGUAAGAGAGGGGGACGAGGAGAUCAUUUGAAAUAGUUGAAGCAGUGGCUAGCUGCUUCUCUGGUUCUUCUGUGUUUCUUCAUGCUCCAUCUUAAUCCGCCAAGAAGAAGAAGAAGAAGAAGAAGAAAAACGUGGGAAAAGACUGUUGCUUGAAUGAGAAGAAAUAGUGAAUGUAAGAAAGAUGUAUAUAAAGCUUUAAUGAUUGAGAAACCUAUGAAAGUUUCUCUAUUGGAGGAUGAAUUUUGUUUAAGUACUUAAUAAGUUGCUUUGAUUA